rnacentral:rRNA from 1 species
UACGAACCGUGCGAACGUUAUUCGGAAUCAUUGGGCUUAAAGCGCGUGUAGGCGGAUUCGUGCGUCUGUCGCUGAAAUCCCCCGGCUCAACCGGGGAACGGGCGCGGAUACGACGAGUCUGGAGGGGCAUAGGGGGACCUGGAACUUCCGGUGGAGCGGUGGAAUGCGUUGAGAUCGGAAGGAACGCCCGUGGCGAAAGCGAGGUCCUGGAUGCCUACUGACGCUGAGACGCGAAAGCCAGGGGAGCGAACGGG